UACGGGGGGGGCAAGCGUUGUUCGGAAUUACUGGGCGUAAAGGGCUCGUAGGCGGCUAACUAAGUCGGACGUGAAAGCCCUCGGCUUAACCGAGGAACUGCGUCCGAUACUGGAUGGCUUGAGGUUGGGAGAGGGAUGCGGAAUUCCAGGUGUAGCGUUGAAAUGCGUAGAUAUCUGGAGGAACAACGGUGGCGAAGGCGGCAUCCUGGGCCAAUUCUGACGCUGAGUGAGCGAAAGCCAGGGGAGCAAACGGG
rnacentral:rRNA from 1 species